GACUGCCCCCGUGGAGGAGACAAUAACGGCGGUGCGGCGGCGGGUCCCGGCCCUGCAGCGGACGUGUAAAGUGAGGAAAGAUCCCUGGGCCAGUACCUGAUUUGAUAAUACACUUGGUGAUCGUGCCACCAAAAAUUGCUGUUUCAGUAACUCCAAUCCAUGUUGUCCAUAUUUUGCGAUGUUUUCUUACCUUCUGAUAUUUUUUGGAGCCUGGAGAGCAUCUGAGCAAGUUUCUGUUGUCGUUCAGCCAGCUCUCCACGACCACUGAAAUCCACACGGAAGAGUGCCAUGAUGGAGUCAAUGAUCUAUAUUAUAAUUGCACUGGAUAAGUCAAUACAGUGAAAGACAACAACAACAAAACCUAUUCUGAAAGCAGCAAGUGUAUGAAAAAUAAAAAUUAGUCUUGUACCAAUAGCUUGAAGAUACCAGCUUCCUCAUGGAACUUGGCUGCUACAUAGUCAAGCAAUUCCAUCUGAUGUUCACCUGAUGGGAAGAGCAGUUGACAAAUGAAAUUAGGGUCAGAAAGAGCUCUGAAGCAAGAAGAGCCUGAAUUUGGAAAUUCCACUUUAAAUGUCUGCAUUCUUUGUAUUUUCACCCCCAGCAGUUUUAGGAGUUCAUUGUCCAUUAACAAGCUACUUCUCCAGUACCCAAUAGUGCUUGUGCUUCUGCUAGCUCCACUUUCCACUUGCUCAGCCAACAACAAUUCUUUGUGAAGAGUUCCACGAAACAGCCUUAUUUUGAGAGUUGAAAACCAACAGAAUUGUUUGAAAUGAACAUUGAAUUAAACAACACAAAGAAAUUGUAUUGCCGUAUUAUUUACGUUCAUGUAAAAGUCCCAUUUACUUGAAGUUUUAAUGCAAUUUCAUCUGUCAGAGUGCAUGAAACUGUUUCUAUGAAGGUCCAUUCACAAAAUUAUAGAGAAUUAUCGACAGCAUUUAUAGAACUAGCUUACAUUCAGACAUUAAUUGUUGCUUCUGUUACUAAGAUGGUACACUGACAACUAUAAUACAUGUGGCGGAAUUGUUGCAGCAUACUACAGAACCUUAUGCAGUACAGCUGGGCUGGAAUACUUACCCUGAGCUAGUCUGCUAGAGUACAACACCAGAAAAAGAAAACAGAAGCUAGCUUGUAACUUCUUUUGCUAGCAACAAAAUGUAAUUUACCAUCCUUAAGCGGGCAAUCUCACUUAAGCAACUGAAAACUAUUAAAACAGAGAAAAAUCAUAGAUAUCAUGGCAGUUGCAUGAUGGUCUUACUAGUAUAUGCACGUGCAUACAGCACGUUGUCAAGGACUGCAUCAUGGUCAACGUUGAAGCGAUCAGCAAUGUCACGAAGACGGUCUGGUCGGCUGACAUCAGUCAGAGUUAAGGAUUUCUCUUUGUACAAACCAUGCUCUGAAAACACUAAAACUCCAUCCCAAAAUAAAUAUGUGGAAAAAAAGAAUAUUUGUUCUAAUCCUAGAGAAGACUGACUUUUCACACUGUCUUACAUACCCUAAGGACAGCUUGGGGCUCUUGAUGAUAAUUGUUUUGUGUUUAGGGUUUGACACAUGGAUAUACAUGCUCUGGGGAUUUGGCAGUAAGCAAAACCUAUAUAUAUACACAGUCUAUCAUAGACAUUAAGUUAGUUCUUAGAUAAAUUUAUUUUGAGAUAAAUAGAAAUACAUCACCUAUCAUCUAUCAUUACAUCUAUCAUCUGUCUAUCUGUUUAUCUAUUCAUUGCUUUCUAUAAUCUGUCACCACUAAGAAAGCAUGUUAAAUCCUAAGGAAAUACUCAAAAGAAAAUCGAUAUUCUGACUCACUUUUCCAGCUUGGAUCAGAUAAAAUGACAGAAAAAAAGCCACUGCCCUGUGGGCCACUACACACUGUGCUCUCCAAGUUUUCUGUGUCCAUCAGAUUGUUUCCCAUGCAUGAAGCCAUCUGGAGCCUCCUACUUGCAUGAAAUUAGAACAAAAUGAACUGUCUUUCCAGUUCAAGGUACCUGUAGCUUUCAACAGCCCAAAAGAUACAAAGUGUUUUCGGUAUCAAUGAAGAUAAUCUUUCCACCAGUGUAGCCCUUGGGCCCUGGCAGCUGAGCUGUCACUGGAAACAAUCAGAAUAAAAUGAAUAGCUGGGGAAAAUAUUUUCUCAUGCUAUUAUUUUUAAUGAAAUACGAUGACUCUUUACCUGUAUCACAGAGAGCCACUGGUUUUAAUCAAUGUGGAAAUCACUAGUCUAGCCUCUUUGAAGUGAAUAAGCUAAAAUACUCAAUCCAUUCAGUUGUGAUCAUUCAGGCGAAAGUAUAUAACUCUGCUGACUAACUUAGAUUGUAUUGAAUGGAAGAGUCUUCAUUUUUCCAGAAGGCUCCACAAUUCCCUUUAUGCCACAGUGUCCAUUUUAGUGAAUGUUUGUCUACCCGAUAUCGUGUAACUAUAUUCCAGAAGUGUAAUAGUUACAAUAGUUAUCAUUGACUACUAUCUACACAUUGUGAGAUAGUGCUGCAGAAUCAGAGUCCUGCUAUGUCUGGCAUUGCCAAAGUCUUUGUUUAACCAGUUCAUGUUAGCCACUGGUAUCCUUUCUGUGCCCUUUUAGAACAUCGUCGUCAGCAAAACUUCUCAAACGCAGGAAAAUAAAAGCAUUGCUGACAAAGAAUCUUGCCUUUGCCAUUUCCUGAGCAAUGCUCCUGUCCCCCUAUAAGUCCUAUUUGUGCUCUGCUUUUCCAGGUAGUGUGUGUUGCUCCCUAAGAUGGCUUAUGGUAUUCUCUCUCCUUCUGGCAAAACUUAGAUUGAUGUGAGCAUCAUUAACAAGUAAUUACCUACAUGAGUUCUGUAUUCAAACGCAACUAAUAGAUGUAAGAGUCACCAAGUUUUCACUAUACUUGUAGAGAUAGAAUAUUCUGACUUGCUUUUAUGUGUUGAAUUUUUAUAUUGUUGUAAUGAAAAAAAGCCACUCCCUGUUUUAAGGUAGCACACUUACCACAAAGGGUAUGAGAUAGCUGUGUUUUGCCUGUCCGGAACUCUGUUAAAUAAAGAAAAAAAAUAAAAGUCAUUUUUUUUCUUUUUUUUUUGUCUUGUGACUGCAAAAAUUCACCUCUAUUUCUGUAUUUGUACGUUUGUACAUUUCAAUCCUGAUAUAUAAAUCACAUUAUGUGCAGUAGAAAUGUCUUGCAUUAAAAGCAAAAUCUGGAAUGCUUUGAUCUGA